UACGUAGGGUGCAAGCGUUGUCCGGAAUCAUUGGGCGUAAAGCGCGCGUAGGUGGCUUUGUAAGUCCGUUGUGAAAGUCAAAGGCUCAACCUUUGAAUGCCGAUGGAUACUGCGGAGCUAGAGUACGGAAGAGGCGAGUGGAAUUCCUGGUGUAGCGGUGGAAUGCGCAGAUAUCAGGAGGAACACCGAUGGCGAAGGCAGCUCGCUGGGACGGUACUGACGCUGAGGCGCGAAAGCGUGGGGAGCAAACAGG
rnacentral:rRNA from 1 species